rnacentral:rRNA from 1 species
GGUUAAGCGACUAAGCGUACACGGUGGAUGCCCUGGCAGUCAGAGGCGAUGAAGGACGUGCUAAUCUGCGAUAAGCGUCGGUGAGGUGAUAUGAACCGUUAUAACCGGCGAUUUCCGAAUGGGGAAACCCAGUGUGUUUCGACACACUAUCAUUAACUGAAUCCAUAGGUUAAUGAGGCGAACCGGGGGAACUGAAACAUCUAAGUACCCCGAGGAAAAGAAAUCAACCGAGAUUCCCCCAGUAGCGGCGAGCGAACGGGGAGGAGCCCAGAGCCUGAAUCAGUGUGUGUGUUAGUGGAAGCGUCUGGAAAGGCGCGCGAUACAGGGUGACAGCCCCGUACACAAAAAUGCACAUAUUGUGAGCUCGAUGAGUAGGGCGGGACACGUGGUAUCCUGUCUGAAUAUGGGGGGGACCAUCCUCCAAGGCUAAAUACUCCUGACUGACCGAUAGUGAACCAGUACCGUGAGGGAAAGGCGAAAAGAACCCCGGCGAGGGGAGUGAAAAAGAACCUGAAACCGUGUACGUACAAGCAGUGGGAGCCUCUUAAUGGGGUGACUGCGUACCUUUUGUAUAAUGGGUCAGCGACUUAUAUUCUGUAGCAAGGUUAACCGAAUAGGGGAGCCGAAGGGAAACCGAGUCUUAACUGGGCGUUAAGUUGCAGGGUAUAGACCCGAAACCCGGUGAUCUAGCCAUGGGCAGGUUGAAGGUUGGGUAACACUAACUGGAGGACCGAACCGACUAAUGUUGAAAAAUUAGCGGAUGACUUGUGGCUGGGGGUGAAAGGCCAAUCAAACCGGGAGAUAGCUGGUUCUCCCCGAAAGCUAUUUAGGUAGCGCCUCGUGAAUUCAUCUCCGGGGGUAGAGCACUGUUUCGGCAAGGGGGUCAUCCCGACUUACCAACCCGAUGCAAACUGCGAAUACCGGAGAAUGUUAUCACGGGAGACACACGGCGGGUGCUAACGUCCGUCGUGAAGAGGGAAACAACCCAGACCGCCAGCUAAGGUCCCAAAGUCAUGGUUAAGUGGGAAACGAUGUGGGAAGGCCCAGACAGCCAGGAUGUUGGCUUAGAAGCAGCCAUCAUUUAAAGAAAGCGUAAUAGCUCACUGGUCGAGUCGGCCUGCGCGGAAGAUGUAACGGGGCUAAACCAUGCACCGAAGCUGCGGCAGCGACACUAUGUGUUGUUGGGUAGGGGAGCGUUCUGUAAGCCUGUGAAGGUGUACUGUGAGGUAUGCUGGAGGUAUCAGAAGUGCGAAUGCUGACAUAAGUAACGAUAAAGCGGGUGAAAAGCCCGCUCGCCGGAAGACCAAGGGUUCCUGUCCAACGUUAAUCGGGGCAGGGUGAGUCGACCCCUAAGGCGAGGCCGAAAGGCGUAGUCGAUGGGAAACAGGUUAAUAUUCCUGUACUUGGUGUUACUGCGAAGGGGGGACGGAGAAGGCUAUGUUGGCCGGGCGACGGUUGUCCCGGUUUAAGCGUGUAGGCUGGUUUUCCAGGCAAAUCCGGAAAAUCAAGGCUGAGGCGUGAUGACGAGGCACUACGGUGCUGAAGCGACAAAUGCCCUGCUUCCAGGAAAAGCCUCUAAGCAUCAGGUAACAUCAAAUCGUACCCCAAACCGACACAGGUGGUCAGGUAGAGAAUACCAAGGCGCUUGAGAGAACUCGGGUGAAGGAACUAGGCAAAAUGGUGCCGUAACUUCGGGAGAAGGCACGCUGAUAUGUAGGUGAAGCGACUUGCUCGUGGAGCUGAAAUCAGUCGAAGAUACCAGCUGGCUGCAACUGUUUAUUAAAAACACAGCACUGUGCAAACACGAAAGUGGACGUAUACGGUGUGACGCCUGCCCGGUGCCGGAAGGUUAAUUGAUGGGGUUAGCGGUAACGCGAAGCUCUUGAUCGAAGCCCCGGUAAACGGCGGCCGUAACUAUAACGGUCCUAAGGUAGCGAAAUUCCUUGUCGGGUAAGUUCCGACCUGCACGAAUGGCGUAAUGAUGGCCAGGCUGUCUCCACCCGAGACUCAGUGAAAUUGAACUCGCUGUGAAGAUGCAGUGUACCCGCGGCAAGACGGAAAGACCCCGUGAACCUUUACUAUAGCUUGACACUGAACAUUGAGCCUUGAUGUGUAGGAUAGGUGGGAGGCUUUGAAGUGUGGACGCCAGUCUGCAUGGAGCCGACCUUGAAAUACCACCCUUUAAUGUUUGAUGUUCUAACGUGGGCCCCUUACCGGGGUUGCGGACAGUGUCUGGUGGGUAGUUUGACUGGGGCGGUCUCCUCCUAAAGAGUAACGGAGGAGCACGAAGGUUGGCUAAUCCUGGUCGGACAUCAGGAGGUUAGUGCAAUGGCAUAAGCCAGCUUGACUGCGAGCGUGACGGCGCGAGCAGGUGCGAAAGCAGGUCAUAGUGAUCCGGUGGUUCUGAAUGGAAGGGCCAUCGCUCAACGGAUAAAAGGUACUCCGGGGAUAACAGGCUGAUACCGCCCAAGAGUUCAUAUCGACGGCGGUGUUUGGCACCUCGAUGUCGGCUCAUCACAUCCUGGGGCUGAAGUAGGUCCCAAGGGUAUGGCUGUUCGCCAUUUAAAGUGGUACGCGAGCUGGGUUUAGAACGUCGUGAGACAGUUCGGUCCCUAUCUGCCGUGGGCGCUGGAGAACUGAGGGGGGCUGCUCCUAGUACGAGAGGACCGGAGUGGACGCAUCACUGGUGUUCGGGUUGUCAUGCCAAUGGCACUGCCCGGUAGCUAAAUGCGGAAGAGAUAAGUGCUGAAAGCAUCUAAGCACGAAACUUGCCCCGAGAUGAGUUCUCCCUGACUCCUUGAGAGUCCUGAAGGAACGUUGAAGACGACGACGUUGAUAGGCCGGGUGUGUAAGCGCAGCGAUGCGUUGAGCUAACCGGUACUAAUGAACCGUGAGGCUUAACCUU